rnacentral:rRNA from 1 species
CCUACGGGUGGCAGCAGUGGGGGAUAUUGCGCAAUGGGGGGAACCCUGAUGCAGCGACGCCGCGUGAGCGAAGAAGUACCUCGGUAUGUAAAGCUCUAUCAGCAGGGAAGAACAUGACGGUACCUGCCUAAUAAGCCCCGGCUAAAUACUUGCCGGCAGCCGCGGUAAUACGUAUGGGGCAAGCGUGAUCCGGAUUUACUGGGUGUAAAGGGAGCGCAGGCGGCCUGGCAAGUCUGUUGUGAAAACCCGGGGCCCAACCCCGGGGCUGCAGUGGAAACUGGCGGGCGGGAGUGUAGGAGGGGUAGGCGGAAUUCCUAGUGUAGCGGUGAAAUGCGUAGAUAUUAGGAGGAACAUCAGGGGCGAAGGCGACCUGCUGGACGAUAACUGACGCUGAGGCUCGAAAGCGUGGGGAGCAAACAGGAUUAGAUACCCCGGUAGUC